CAGCACCUCAAGUGGUCAGGAUGAUUAUUGGGCAUAAAGCAUCCGUAGCCGGCGCUGUAAGUUUUCGGUUAAAUCUGUACGCUCAACGUACAGGCUGCCGGGAAUACUGCAGCGCUAGGGAGUGGGAGAGGUAGACGGUACUCGGUAGGAAGGGGUAAAAUCCUUUGAUCUAUUGAUGACCACCUGUGGCGAAGGCGGUCUACCAGAACACGUCCGACGGUGAGGGAUGAAAGCUGGGGGAGCAAACCGGAUUAGAUACCCGAGUAGUCC
rnacentral:rRNA from 1 species